GGCACUGCUUCCGGGCCCCGAGCCCUGUGAAUCAGACACCAGCAGGGACAGGCCCGACGGCCAGGUCCUCAGGGCUGCCAUGAUCUCUGCAGCUGCCCACCACCCCUACGGGGGCCCACCGCAGGUUGAGAACCGGGGUCCCGGGCAUUCCAAGGGCCCCUAGUUUACCUCCCAGGAGCCAGUUCUGUUCUAGCUUCAUAAAACGCCCUGGGCCGCUUCCCUGGUUUGCUCGUUUUCUGGAACAGCUCACAUAUCACAUGGACGACCUGGUGCCCGGGGCUUGGCGUGUGGAACCUGGUCUCACUCUGUCACGCAGGCUGGAGAGCAACGGCGUC